GCCCAUGGUCGGGCGCGUCGGGAGGCGUAUGCCUGCCGUUGCUCUAGCGGUCUUCCAACCCGUCACGUCCGGCCACCAGC
rnacentral:antisense_RNA from 1 species